CAAGUCGAACGGGAAAGUGGAGCAAUCCAUGAGUACAGUGGCGUACGGGUGAGUAACACGUGGGUAUCUAACUCUUAGUGGGGAAUAACGCUGGGAAACCGGCGCUAAUACCGCAUAAGCUCGAGAGAGGAAAGCAGCAAUGCGCUGAGAGAGGAGCCCGCGGCCGAUUAGCUAGUUGGCAGGGUAAAAGCCUACCAAGGCAGAGAUCGGUAGCCGGCCUGAGAGGGCACACGGCCACACUGGCACUGAAACACGGGCCAGACUCCUACGGGAGGCAGCAGUGGGGAAUCUUGCACAAUGGAGGAAACUCUGAUGCAGCGACGCCGCGUGAGCGAUGAAGCCCUUCGGGGUGUAAAGCUCUUUCGUCAGGGAAGAUAAUGACGGUACCUGGAGAAGCAGCUGCGGCUAACUACGUGCCAGCAGCCGCGGUAAUACGUAGGCAGCGAGCGUUGUUCGGAGUUACUGGGCGUAAAGGGUGUGUAGGCGGUUCUUUAAGUUUGGUGUGAAAUCUCCCGGCUCAACCGGGAGGGUGCGCCGAAUACUGAGGGACUAGAGUACGGGAGAGGAAAGUGGAAUUCCUGGUGUAGCGGUGAAAUGCGUAGAUAUCAGGAGGAACACCGGUGGUGUAGACGGCUUUCUGGACCGUAACUGACGCUGAGACACGAAAGCGUGGGUAGCAAACAGGAUUAGAUACCCUGGUAGUCCACGCCCUAAACGAUGCAUAUUUGGUGUGGGUCAUUCAGUUGAUCCGUGCCGGA
rnacentral:rRNA from 1 species